AACAGGAAGCAGCUUGCUGCUUCGCUGACGAGUGGCGGACGGGUGAGUAAUGUCUGGGAAACUGCCUGAUGGAGGGGGAUAACUACUGGAAACGGUGGCUAAUACCGCAUAACGUCGCAAGACCAAAGAGGGGGACCUUCGGGCCUCUUGCCAUCAGAUGUGCCCAGAUGGGAUUAGCUUGUUGGUGAGGUAACGGUUCACCAAGGCGACGAUCCCUAGCUGGUCUGAGAGGAUGACCAGCCACACUGGAACUGAGACACGGUCCAGACUCCUACGGGAGGCAGCAGUGGGGAAUAUUGCACAAUGGGCGCAAGCCUGAUGCAGCCAUGCCGCGUGUAUGAAGAAGGCCUU
rnacentral:rRNA from 1 species